CUACGGAGGGUGCAAGCGUUGUUCGGAAUUACUGGGCGUAAAGCGCGCGUAGGCGGUCUGUUAUGUCAGAUGUGAAAGUCCUCGGCUCAACCGGGGAAGUGCAUUUGAAACUGGCAGACUUGAGUACUGGAGGGGGUGGUGGAAUUCCCGGUGUAGAGGUGAAAUUCGUAGAUAUCGGGAGGAAUACCGGUGGCGAAGGCGACCACCUGGCCAGAUACUGACGCUGAGGUGCGAAAGCGUGGGGAGCAAACAGGAUUAGAAACCCUAGUAGUCC
rnacentral:rRNA from 1 species